UUUUCAUCCUGUGGGUUUCACCUUAGCUCGAACAUCAUGUCUAGUUCUAAUGGUGCCGAAGAGAAUUCCCACAACAAGCCUCGGACAUCUCCUUACCCGGGUUCCAAAGUCCAACGCAGCCAAGUUCCUAAUGAGAAAGCAGGCUGGUUUGUUGAGCGGCAAGACUAUAAUCCUGUGGAAUACACUGCAGUCUCUGUCUUGGCAGGACCGAAGUGGGCAGAUCCUCAGAUCAGUGAAAGUAACUUCUCUCCCAAGUUUAAUGAAAAGGAUGGGCAUGUUGAGAGAAAGAGCCAGAAUGGUUUGUAUGAGAUUGAAAAUGGAAGACCCAGAAAUCCUGCAGGACAGACAGGACUGGUUGGCCGGGGGCUUCUGGGGCGAUGGGGCCCAAAUCAUGCUGCAGAUCCCAUCAUAACCAGGUGGAAAAGGGAUAGAAGUGGAAAUAAAAUCACCCACCCCGUUUCUGGGAAAAACAGAAACUGCUUACAGUUUGUGGCAAUAAAAAGGAAAGACUGUGGGGCAUGGGCAAUCCCAGGGGGGAUGGUGGAUCCAGGAGAGAAGAUUAGUGUUACACUUAAUAGAGAGUUUGGUGAAGAAGCUCUCAACUCCUUACAGAAAUCCGGUGCGGAGAAGAGAGAAUUAGAGGAACAGUUGCACAAACUCUUCAGCCAGGAACAUCUAGUGAUAUAUAAGGGAUAUGUUGAUGAUCCUCGAAACACUGAUAAUGCAUGGAUGGAGACAGAAGCUGUGAACUACCAUGAUGAAACAGGUGAGAUAAUGGAUAACCUUACCCUAGAAGCUGGAGAUGAUGCUGGAAAAGUGAAAUGGGUGGACAUCAGUGAUCGACUCCAGCUUUAUGCCAGUCACUCUCAAUUUAUCAAACUUGUGGCCGAGAAGCGAGAUGCACACUGGAGUGAGGACUCUGAAACUGAGUGCUGCGGGUUGUAGCCCGCAUUGCUGUGGGAGCCACAGGCCAGCAAAGGGGUGCAUGCUGAAAAGAAGGCGGUAUCACAGAGCUCAUCCUACAGGAGGGCAGGGUCGGUCACUUGGAAAUUAUUUUAUUCACUUUCAGAGCUAUUUGCAUUUAGAAGGUUCACAUCAGAAUAAAAUUAGUAAAUAUGGUGAAAUGCAACACAGAAUUUUCUGCUUUCUAAUCAAAAGAAAUAUAAACAAUCAUUUUGUAUGUAUUCUAUUUAAGCAUAGCUUAAACCAACUCUAAACAACUGAUGGUCUUUGAAGAAUCAUAAUCUGAAUAAAGAUAUAUUUA